rnacentral:rRNA from 1 species
CUAUGCGCCUUGCCAGCCCGCUCAGGUGUGCCAGCAGCCGCGGUAAUACGUAGGUGGCAAGCGUUGUCCGGAUUUACUGGGUGUAAAGGGCGUGCAGCCGGAGAGACAAGUCAGAUGUGAAAUCCACGGGCUCAACUCGUGAACUGCAUUUGAAACUGUUUCCCUUGAGUGUCGGAGAGGUAAUCGGAAUUCCUUGUGUAGCGGUGAAAUGCGUAGAUAUAAGGAAGAACACCAGUGGCGAAGGCGGAUUACUGGACGAUAACUGACGGUGAGGCGCGAAAGCGUGGGGAGCAAACAGG